rnacentral:rRNA from 1 species
UACGGGGGGAGCAAGCGUUGUUCGGAUUUACUGGGCGUAAAGGGCGCGUAGGCGGCCACCGCAAGUCAAUUGUGAAAUCUCCGGGCUUAACUCGGAACGGUCAAGUGAUACUGUCGGACUAGAGUACAGAAGGGGCAACUGGAAUUCUCGGUGUAGCGGUGAAAUGCGUAGAUAUCGAGAGGAACACCUGUGGCGAAGGCGGGUUGCUGGGCUGAUACUGACGCUGAGGUGCGAAAGCGUGGGGAGCGAACCGG